AAAGAAUUAGUUAAAAUAACAUUAAAUUGUCAAUUUAAAAUUAUUAUGUAAAUAAUAUUCUUUC
rnacentral:tRNA from 2 species